UGGAAAAGGCCUUUUUCCCCGGACGGUCCCCUGGAGCCUGACGGACGGGUGCAGGUCCUAAUGAAGUCUACCAAUCACUCCACCCAUUGAUGAUGGACAAAGACCAAGUCUACAGCACCAUAACACCCAACAAAAGGGAGGGACCGUCUACGUCCCCACUUUGAAGGAUCUCUGCAGCAGCAGCUAUUGCAUCAAUAUUAAAUGCCUGAGUGUUGAAAGAUAAAAUAAGUAUUUUGCAUUUGCUAAAUAAAGCGUGGGACAUACUUUCAUAAUUCCAUGUCAGCGGACAGCUUCACACUUGUACCAGUCGGUAUUUGGUUUUAUAUAAACUUCUUUGAAGACAAAUUGUGCACAGUCCUGGGUCUGCCUGUCAGGACACUCGUGGUCCAAUCACAGAGGGCGGAGGAAAGUCCCAGGUCUCUGAGCCCACUGACGAGCUUAGAGGCCACGAUGGUGCUGAUGUCAGCUGUCCUCAAUGAACAGCGUUCUGCCAUUUGUGUUCCUCCGGUCCAGGUGGAGGUCUGGGUGGAUGGUGAGAGCUUUGCUGGCGUCUGUGGAUGUGUUUGUCAUUCGGGCAGUGGGGUUUGCUCUUUUGGGGGACAGGGACUAUGGUGGUCUUUUUGGAGAAUGUGGGGGAAUACAGUGAAAUGUGUUGUGGAAUAUUUCAAUAAAAGCUCGGUAGAAGAGAAUGAUUUGUCUGAUAAAA